CAGCAGCCGCGGGAAUACAGAGGGUGCGAGCGUUAAUCGGAUUUACUGGGCGUAAAGCGUGCGUAGGCGGCUUUUUAAGUCGGAUGUGAAAUCCCUGAGCUUAACUUAGGAAUUGCAUUCGAUACUGGGAAGCUAGAGUAUGGGAGAGGAUGGUAGAAUUCCAGGUGUAGCGGUGAAAUGCGUAGAGAUCUGGAGGAAUACCGAUGGCGAAGGCAGCCAUCUGGCCUAAUACUGACGCUGAGGUACGAAAGCAUGGGGAGCAAACAGGAUUAGAGACCCCAGUAGUCCCUGUCUCUUAUAC
rnacentral:rRNA from 1 species